UACGAAGGGGGCUAGCGUUGCUCGGAAUUACUGGGCGUAAAGCGCACGUAGGCGGCUUCGCAAGUUGGAUGUGAAAUCCCUCGGCUCAACCGAGGACGUGCAUCCAAAACUGCGAGGCUUGAGUACUGAAGAGGAUCGCGGAAUUCCCGGUGUAGAGGUGAAAUUCGUAGAUAUUCGGAAGAACACCAGUGGCGAAGGCGACUUACUGGACACAUAUUGACGCUGAGGUGCGAAAGCGUGGGGAGCAAACAGG
rnacentral:rRNA from 1 species